ensembl:snRNA U2 U2 spliceosomal RNA
AUCGCUUCUCGGCCUUUUGGCUAAGAUCAAGUGUAGUAUCUGUUCUUAUCAGUUUAAUAUCUGAUACGUCCUCUAUCUGAGGACAACAUAUUAAAUGGAUUUUUGGAGCAGGGAGAUGGAAUAGGAGCUUGCUCCGUCCACUCCACGCAUCGACCCAGUAUUGCAGUAUUUCUGGGAACGGUGCACUUCCC